CCUCGCGCUAAGAGAAGAGCCUACGUCUGAUUAGCUAGUUGGUAGGGUAAAGGCCUACCAAGGCGACGAUCAGUAGCUGGUCUGAGAGGACGACCAGCCACACUGGGACUGAGACACGGCCCAGACUCCUACGGGAGGCAGCAGUGGGGAAUUUUUCGCAAUGGGGGCAACCCUGACGAAGCAAUGCCGCGUGGAUGAAGAAGGCCUUCGGGUUGUAAAGUCCUUUCGUGGGGGACGAAAAGGUGGUUCCUAAUACGAGCUGCUGUUGACGUGAACCCAAGAAGAAGCACCGGCUAACUCCGUGCCAGCAGCCGCGGUAAUACGGGGGGUGCAAGCGUUAAUCGGAAUCACUGGGCGUAAAGGGUGCGUAGGCGGUACGUUAGGUCUGUCGUGAAAUCCCCGGGCUCAACCUGGGAAUGGCGGUAGAAACCGGCGAACUAGAGUAUGGGAGAGGGUGGUGGAAUUCCAGGUGUAGCGGUGAAAUGCGUAGAGAUCUGGAGGAACAUCAGUGGCGAAGGCGGCCACCU
rnacentral:rRNA from 1 species